rnacentral:rRNA from 1 species
UACCAGCUCUCCGAGUGGUGUGGAUGUUUAUUGGGCCUAAAGCAUCCGUAGCUGGUUGGGCAAGUCCCCUGUUAAAUCCACCGAUUUAAUCGUUGGAGUGCGGGGGAUACUGUUCGGCUAGGGGACGGGAGAGGCAGACGGUAUUUUCGGGGUAGGGGUGAAAUCCUGUAAUCCCGGGAAGACCACCAGUGGCGAAGGCUGUCUGCUAGAACGCGCCCGACGGUGAGGGAUGAAAGCUGGGGGAGCGAACCGGAUUAGAUACCCGGGUAGUCCCAGCUGUAAACGAUGCAGGCUAGGUGUUUGGGCGGCCACGUGCCGCUCUAGUGCCGCAGGGAAGCCGUUAAGCCUGCCGCCUGGGGAGUACGGCCGCAAGGCUGAAACUUAAAGGAAUUGGCGGGGGAGCACCACAAGGGGUGAAGCUUGCGGUUU